rnacentral:rRNA from 1 species
GUGCCAGCAGCCGCGGUAAUACGGAGGGUGCAAGCGUUGUCCGGAUUUAUUGGGUUUAAAGGGUGCGUAGGUGGCCUGUUAAGUCAGUGGUGAAAGACAGCCGCUCAACGGUUGAGGUGCCAUUGAUACUGACGGGCUUGAAGCAGACAGAGGCUGCCGGAAUGGAUGGUGUAGCGGUGAAAUGCAUAGAUAUCAUCCAGAACACCGAUUGCGAAGGCAGGUGGCUAUGUCUGACUUGACACUGAGGCACGAAAGCAUGGGGAGCAAACAGGAUUAGAUACCCUUGUAGUCC